GCCGUAUCCGACCGGUCCGUAUGGGGACGGAGACACGUAACCGUAGGCCACUUUAUUCUCGUCUGGAAACGAGCAAGAAUAUUCGGUUUCGGUUUUUCAUCCGGACGAGAGGGCAAGAGUGCCCCUCUGUUUUGAACAGUAAAUGAAAUGAUGGAGCACGAAUAGGGGGACAAAUGAAACGCGAUGAAAGUGACUAGAAAAGGGGAAGAGAAGAGGGGGGCAAAGAUAGAGAGAGAGAGAGAGAGAGAGAGAGAGAGAGAGAGAAUGUGUUAAAUAAAUUAUUGAUGUGACCCUACCAUGAGGAUGCUGAGAGGGUUCGCCAGAGUCAUCCAUAUUCCAAGAGUUGCUGAUUUGAUCUAGAGAGAACACAAAAUAACAAACGAAUGUCAGGCGCCUUCGUGUGAAUUUGGACGUGGACAGACUGAACAACUAUGAGAAGCAAUGGGACAAAAAAAGGAGGGGGGAAAGCUAAUCCUUCUAACCCGUUUCGAAGUUACCGAACGUACCAUAUUGAUCUCCAGGACCACCAGGGCUAGGAGUAAUACGAUAAUGAUCUUGCAACGCGGGAUUCAAACCUGGAUCGAUGUCGUUGUAACCUCCUUCCACGUACGGCGCCGCCUUGCGCAGAAAUAAUUUUCAUUCGUUCCAACGACGACAAGAUGGCGUCAUGGAGGAUAUAAAAAAAAAAAAAAAAAAAUAAACGCUCGCCUUACCAUGCGGAGGCGAGGCACGACUGUGCUCCGAAGGACUGUGAGGACUGUGAGGGGAAUGCGAGCGGGGCAUGUAGAUUCCAUGAGGUCCUGGAUACCCUGGUUGGGGCGGAUAGCCGAGAAUGAAGAACAAGUACGAGGCGGGAACAAUUUGUUGAGAGUAAAAGGAAAUCGCAGCAAAUUAGAGCGUAGGUAAAACUGGAAACGGAUCUCACUUGUUGAGUGGUUUGCUGCUUAUGGCUCCGGAUGAGUAAUGGAUCCUCCUGGACAGACAAAUGAGACGAAUGCAACGAAUGGGUAUCCGCCUGGCCGUUACUUCCGUGGUAAUCUGCAUCACUCUGUCCGCUGCAAAAUGAUCCGCAAUAAUGAUCAAUUAGAGAUCCCAUCGCGCCAACAAUCGCCGAUUUAUUCGCUUAAGCCAUUACCGAGAAAACGAGUUUCGCCAAUUGGUCGAUGUUACGUUUUUUGCAAUAGCCGUGUAAAAUAGAGAAAGAGAGAUAAAGAAAGAGAGGGAAAAGCGGAGUUCACCGAUGAUUCUCCCUCAUUGGAGAAGGAAGAAAAAAGAGUAAUAGAGCGAAAGAUAGAAAGAGAACGUAUUAAUCGUUUACGAGACUCUCCUCGACAGAGAACUCGAGUAGAGAAAGACACUUACAGACAGGAGUCAACCAGCUGAUUAUUUGACAUACCAGCUG